GGCUAUGUAGCUCAGCGGUUAGAGCACAACACUCAUAAUGUUGGGGUCACAGGUUCGAAUCCCGUCAUAGCCACCA
rnacentral:tRNA from 1 species